rnacentral:pre_miRNA from 7 species
AUUUAAGGUCCUGUAAGACCCCCUUUCGGGGACCCCCACUCUAAUCUCGGGAGAGAGACAGCACCCAAAGAAACACGAGAGUCC